GAAGCUGAAAAUAAGCGAAGAAAUGCACUUCCAUGGGACAGCUAGGUAAUAUCGAUUUUCGUGUAUUGUCACAUCUAUAUAGUUUAUUUGGUUGCUGUAUAGGUAGGAGCUUCCUGACUGAAAGACAAGGCUCACUGUCUGCCUCCUACACAUGUAUAGGGUAAGAGAGAGAGAUAGAGAAAGAGGGAGAGAGAGGCUGUCUUCAGGACUCAGAGUAUAGUUAUGUGCAUUGCCGUCCACAGCCACAGGCCUAUAUCUUAAGGAAUCGCACUUGAAGCUACAGGACAUGUUGGUGUGUAAACCAGUGACAAAAAGUUGUGUCAGAACUGUUGUUUCCUACAUACUGUUAUUUACAUAAAAAUGUAACACUGGAUCCUGAAAUGUCUGUUAAUUUAUAGUUUUGUUGAGAAAUAAAAUAACUUAUUAGGUGAUAUUUACAUAUCUUAACUUGUAAAACUUGAGGCAGAAUUUUAUUAC